AAACUUGAAGUAAUUGAAACUAAGAAUCCAAUAUAUAGGUGCAUUUAGAGAAGAUGAGUAAUCCUAACCUCAUCAAUCAUCAUAUAUCCCAAAAGAAACCUUAAUUAAAGGUGUUCCUAAUUCUCCAAGAUGGAAACAGAUGAUGAUGGUUGAAGCAGAGCACGGGAUACAUUGUCUCAAACAGUACGAAGAAGAGGAGAGAGAAUGAAGAUUGAAAAAGGAACUACAACUAAUAGAUUUAGCUGAAAGUGCAAAGGAAUGAGACAACACAAUUAAUAGCUUCGUCUCCUCUUCUUGACUUUCUCCUUCUUCAUUUUUGCUGGUUUUCUCUCUCCUCUUGGUCUUGUAAUGGCAUGCUUGGUUCCUCUCGCGGAAGUCAUCUCUGCUAUUAGCGCCACACCUGCUGGGCUUGUUAUCAAUGGGUCUCUAUUGGCAUGGUUGAACAUGAUAUAGCCGCUGACACUGUUUUGGAUGUUAAUGUAUCGGAUUAUUCUGACGAAUCUGAAAUGGAAUCUGAUUCUUCUCAAAGCCCUCUGCCUGACUCCCAAGUCCAGACCAUUUUUAAAUCUGCUAACUCUCUUUCUCAGCAAGACCGCUUAGAUCCGGAGCCAAACAGCAGUUUAUCAAAAUUCAUUUCAUAAUAAUUAAAGCAUAAUUGAAUAUAUUUUUCAUUUAUUUUUUUUUUAUUUUUUUGGC
rnacentral:lncRNA from 1 species